rnacentral:rRNA from 1 species
GACGAACGCUGGCGGUGUGCUUAACACAUGCAAGUCGAACGGUAAGGCCCUUUCGGGGGUACACGAGUGGCGAACGGGUGAGUAACACGUGAGUAACCUGCCCUCAUCUCUGGGAUAACAGUCGGAAACGGUUGCUAAUACUGGAUAUGAGCUUGCAAGGCAUCUUGUGGGUUGGAAAGAUUUUUUUUGGUUGGGGAUGGACUCGCGGCCUAUCAGCUUGUUGGUUAGGUAGUGGCUCACCAAGGCUUCGACGGGUAGCCGGCCUGAGAGGGCGACCGGCCACAUUGGGACUGAGAUACGGCCCAAACUCCUACGGGAGGCAGCAGUGGGGAAUAUUGCACAAUGGACGGAAGUCUGAUGCAGCAACGCCGCGUGCGGGAUGACGGCCUUCGGGUUGUAAACCGCUUUCAAUUGUGACGAAGCUUUUUUGUGACGGUAGCAGUAGAAGAAGCACCGGCUAACUACGUG